CCGCAGGCUGUUUCCGUCUUGCGGCAGCUACCUCCUCCACACUGAGACGCUGGCUGAAUGGACACUAGAGGGAGCUGCAGCGCACAGCUCCUGUCAGCCUCAGGAAGCUACUGUACCAUGGAGCUCUGAUGCAGAGAGCUGGCCGAGUGAGGCUCCACGGACUCAGCAGCAAGCCACCAGAGUCUGUGAUCGAUUAUGAUCUACAGGAGGAUUCCGCUGAGUCAGCUGCUGCUGUCGAGUCCGCAAGGGCGAUUGUGGAAGGUUGGAUGGUUAUCAAUGUCAUCCUGAUCAGCGUGGCAAUACCUAAGGCAAGAGAAGGACUUAAACAUACAAGAAGGAUAGCGGGUAACAAAAGGAGACAAAUCAUUUCAUUACAUAUAGUAUAGUGCUGAACUGCAGUGAGUUUACAUGGACUCACAAAGAACUGCAUAAGAAUAUUAAACACAGAAUAUUGAUUCCCAUCCUGUGGCAAUACCAUGGAUUUCAUGCAGAGAUUUGUAAAUGUUUCUAUUAAGAUACUGUACAUAAUUUUCUUAGAAAAAAAGCCCUCAAAAUGAACACAUCAGCAUAUAAAUCUAGCUGAAGUCUUUUGAUCAUAGUACAAUUAUAUCAUGUUAAGAACAUUAUGGGACAUUUACAAACAAAACACCACAAGUGCAGAUUUAGUAUUUUAAGGCCUUUCUCCAGAAAUGUUUCCUAUACCAUUCAUAUGACCAGUGCCAGAUUAAGGUCUACAUGGGCCUGGAGCCGAAAUGUAUGAAGGGCCUAUUGUGUGCGGAGGCGAGACAAGUGCUGUGGUGGGGGUGGGCUAAAUAGGGGGUGUGGUCUGUGCCAUGGGUGUAGGUAUCUCCAUGGAGGUCAUAGCUAAUGCCUAUCUUCAACCAUUUAAUACAGAAGCAGAACAACAGACCCAUACACACAUACAUACAGUGGUCGUCGAAGUGGGAAUUUAAAGUGGGGAUAUGGGAAACGAGAUGGGAUUACUGUUGCCUGUACCUAAAAAGGGGGCAUGGCCACUGAAAUGGAGUGUGUCCUUAAAAGUAUAUGCAUCAGUGUGCACCCUCCUAGUCUCUAUAUGCGUCAGUGUCCCCCCUCCCCUCCUAAUCUGUAUGUGUAUUAGUGUGCCACCCUCCCCUCCUGGUCUCUAUAUGCGUCAGUGUGUCCCCCCUCCCCUCCUAGUUUGUAUGUGUAUUAGUGUGCCACCCUCCGCUCCUAGUCUGUAUAUGUGUCAGCGUGCCCCCCUUCUCUCCUAGUCUGUAUGUGUAUUAGUGUGCCACCCUCCCCUCCUAGUCUGUAUAUGCAUCAGUGUGCCCCCCUUCCCUCCUAGUCUGUAUGUGUAUUAGUGUGCCACCCUCCCCUCCUAGUCUCUAUAUGCAUCAGUGUGCCCCCUUUACCUCCUAGUCUGUAUGUGUAUUAGUGUGCCACCCUCCCCUCCUAGUCUGUAUAUGCAUCAGUGUGCCCCCCUUCCCUCCUAGUCUGUAUGUGUAUUAGUGUGCCAUCCUUCCCUCCUAGUCUGUAUGUGUAUUAGUGUGCUACCCUCCCCUCCUAGUCUGUAUAUGCAUCAGUGUGCCCCCCUUCCCUCCUAGUCUGUAUGUGUAUUAGUGUGCCAUCCUCCCCUCCUAGUCUGUAUGUGUAUUAGUGUGCCACCCUCCCCUCCUAGUCUGUAUAUGCAUCAGUGUGCCCCCCUUCCCACCUAGUCUGUAUGUGUAUUAGUGUGCCAUCCUCCCCUCCUAGUCUGUAUGUGUAUUAGUGUGCCACCCUCCCCUCCUAGUCUCUAUAUGCAUCAGUGUGCCCCCUUUACCUCCUAGUCUGCAUGUGUAUUAGUGUGCCACCCUCCCCUCCUAGUCUGUAUAUGCAUCAGUGUGCCCCCCUUCCCUCCUAGUCUGUAUGUGUAUUAGUGUGCCAUCCUUCCCUCCUAGUCUGUAUGUGUAUUAGUGUGCCCCCCUCCCCUCCUAGUCUGUAUAUGCAUCAG